rnacentral:rRNA from 1 species
UACGGGGGGAGCAAGCGUUGUUCGGAUUUACUGGGCGUAAAGGGCGCGUAGGCGGUCAGCACAAGUCAGUUGUGAAAUCUCCGGGCUUAACUCGGAAAGGUCAACUGAUACUGUGCGACUAGAGUGCAGAAGGGGCAACUGGAAUUCUCGGUGUAGCGGUGAAAUGCGUAGAUAUUGGGAGGAACACCAGUGGCGAAGGCGGCUACCUGGACCGGAACUGACGCUGAUGCGCGAAAGCGUGGGGAGCAAACAGG